AAACCAACUGUAAAUUUACUCCCGAACUUUUGGCAUCUAAGAAACCCUAGCAGACACUCCAAACCCUAAUUUACAAGCAUCUGAAAAACUAUUUUCCUUAUAUCUCAAAAAUCCGAACUCCAAAUGUCAUAAAACUUAUGCACAAAGUUUACUAACAUGAAAUUACACAUCCAUUGAAAUUUUGAGCCAAAACUUUAUCAAAUUGCUCAAGAUAUAGCUCAAGAAACAAACACUAGUAAAUCGGUUUACUUACUACCCUUAGAUUGCAUGUGCUGACUUCAAAAUCCAAUAACUCCUUCAUCCCAACUUAGAAUCCAGUAAGCAGUAUGUGAAAAGUAUUGCCGCAAAAGUGCUCUCUUCAAUCGCGGUUGCCGAUCCUCAAUUGCCAUCCGUACGCAUGCGUUAUGCCUAAAAGAGUGACAGUAGGUCCAAAACUAACACCUUAACUUUGAGCGCCUAUAACUUCUUCAUAAAAACCCCAAAUGACACAAAACUUGCACCAAAACCUUAACCAAAAACCUAAACCUUCUGACCUUAGCCUUCAAAGUUCGAAUGGGCUCGAAAAACUAACCCUAAUCCCUAUUAUGGCCUCGGGCAGCCUACUCAAAGCCCAUUGGUCAUGAUUUUUGACCAAUAGGAAUGGAGAUUUUUAUUUUUCAUCUCCAUUCAUCUAUAUUGGUGCCCUAAUUACUCCCUUUGCUACCAAAAUCCUUCUUCAAUCUUUUUUCUUAUAAGAUUUACAUAAUGUAUGCUCUAAACACCAAAUAAAAGAAUCAAAAUAAGUUUUCAAAUGUCACCAAUGUCUAACAAAGGUGACUCUAAAUAUUUAGAAGUUACUAUCAACCAAAACCAA
rnacentral:lncRNA from 1 species